rnacentral:tRNA from 1 species
GGUUAUAUGGCUCAGUGGUAGAGAGCCUGCUUAGCAUGCACAAGGUGCUGGGUUCAAUCCCCAGUACCUCUG